rnacentral:rRNA from 1 species
AUUGAACGCUGGCGGCAGGCCUAACACAUGCAAGUCGAGCGGAUGAAGGGAGCUUGCUCCUGGAUUCAGCGGCGGACGGGUGAGUAAUGCCUAGGAAUCUGCCUGGUAGUGGGGGAUAACGUCCGGAAACGGGCGCUAAUACCGCAUCCGUCCUGCGGGAGAAAGUGGGGGAUCUUCGGACCUCACGCUAUCAGAUGAGCCUAGGUCGGAUUAGCUAGUUGGUGGGGUAAAGGCCUACCAAGGCGACGAUCCGUAACUGGUCUGAGAGGAUGAUCAGUCACACUGGAACUGAGACACGGUCCAGACUCCUACGGGAGGCAGCAGUGGGGAAUAUUGGACAAUGGGCGAAAGCCUGAUCCAGCCAUGCCGCGUGUGUGAAGAAGGUCUUCGGAUUGUAGAGCACUUUAAGUUGGGAGGAAGGGCAGUAAGUUAAUACCUUGCUGUUUUGACGUUACCAACAGAAUAAGCACCGGCUAACUUCGUG